CCUACGGGAGGCAGCAGUGGGGAAUAUUGGACAAUGGGCGAAAGCCUGAUCCAGCAAUGCCGCGUGAGUGAUGAAGGCCUUAGGGUUGUAAAGCUCUUUUACCCGGGAUGAUAAUGACAGUACCGGGAGAAUAAGCCCCGGCUAACUCCGUGCCAGCAGCCGCGGUAAUACGGAGGGGGCUAGCGUUGUUCGGAAUUACUGGGCGUAAAGCGCACGUAGGCGGCUUUGUAAGUUAGAGGUGAAAGCCCAGGGCUCAACCCUGGAAUUGCCUUUAAGACUGCAUCGCUAGAAUUGUGGAGAGGUAAGUGGAAUUCCGAGUGUAGAGGUGAAAUUCGUAGAUAUUCGGAAGAACACCAGUGGCGAAGGCGACUUACUGGACACAUAUUGACGCUGAGGUGCGAAAGCGUGGGGAGCAAACAGGAUUAGAUACCCGAGUAGUC
rnacentral:rRNA from 1 species